rnacentral:rRNA from 1 species
CAGUCGCCACGGUAAUACGUAGGUGGCGAGCGUUGUCCGGAAUCAUUGGGCGUAAAGGGAGCGCAGGCGGGCAUAUAAGUCUUUCUUAAAAGUUCGAGGCUCAACCCCGUGAUGGGAAAGAAACUAUAUGUCUUGAGUACAGGAGAGGAAAGCGGAAUUCCCAGUGUAGCGGUGAAAUGCGUAGAUAUUGGGAGGAACACCAGUGGCGAAGGCGGCUUUCUGGACUGCAACUGACGCUGAGGCUCGAAAGCCAGGGGAGCGAACGGGAUUAGAUACCCGUGUAGUCCCUGUCUCUUAUACA